rnacentral:lncRNA from 1 species
UGACUUUUGCAAACCAAAAUGGCGGCCGCUCGCUCGCGUCAGAGCUGCUUUUUUCAACCAUAGAGCUACGUUUUUCGAUUGAAAUCUUCCACAGGUAAGCUUUGGUACGACACACUUCGUACAGUUAUAGAACCUUGUCCGACUCGUAGCUCUACACGUCUCUCUCUGCAAAAACCAUAUAAAAAACGCCAAUGCAAGCUUUUGUACGAUCGUACAGCUAAAGAACCUUGUCCGACUCGUAGCUCUACGCGUCUCUCCCCAAAACCCAUAUUUUUCACGAUUGCGAGUUUUAUGUUCCCGAGCGUAUUCUCUCCAUCUUUGCAGCUGCCAUGGGCCUUUCUUUUCUUCUAAUGCGUGUUUUUCGCUGUUAGUCAAGCCAGUUUAUUUUGACAAAUUUCUCUACGUUGGGAUUGGAAAAUCCAAGUUUGACCAGGAGGAGUGAAUCUUUAACCCCUUUCUUAUCCCCAAGAAAAGCAUAUUAUCAGUGUAAAAAUAGGCCUGGCAAACCCUCGAGGGAAAAUGGGGAGGAAGCCGACAGACUUGGCGUACAUCAGGCAAGAAACCAAGCGGAGGAACACUUUCAGGAAGAGGUGGGAGGGCGCGAGAAAGAAAGCGGAGGAGCUCCACAUACUCACGCGAGCUCGGGUGAGACUCAUGGCGAGGUUUGAGGGUGUCUUGUAUGUGUAUAACAGUAGUGCGGAAUCCGAUGUAAACAAUGGGGUGGCGGACAAUGAUCAUCAACAAGCGCAAGAUGAUGUGAAUACGAGCAGCGUGGACGACAAUGGAGAGGGAGAAGAUGGUGGCAGUGAGAAUGAAAAUGUGUAUGAGAACGACGAGAAUGAGAAUGGUGACGAAGAUGAGGAAGAGGAGAGCGACGGAGAUGGUGAUGGCGAUGGUGAUUGGGAUGGGAAUGGUGAGGCCACUUUCAAGCCCUACCAACUCAACUUCAGUGACUUUUCCAGCGAUUUGAGCUUUGCGAGCAGGGAUGCGGUGGUUCCACAGGAUUUGGAGUGGUGUUUUGAGAGGAAAACUCUGGAGCAGCAGCAGCAGACGACUGCUGUGACCAAAGUCAACUACUCGGAGUUGCUUACUGAGGACGAAGUCAACGGCUUCCUCAACUUCUGACCGAGAGAAGUUUCUGUACAUACAAGUAUUGUCAGGGCUCUCAGAGUACUCCUUGUCAUCGAAUGUAAAUAAAAUCACUAACCUUGAAAUCUUUUAGAGGUUCCAAUACUUGAAUGCUGCCACGUCAGCGUGCCUCCUCCAAGGCACUGAUUCAAAGUUUAGGGCACGGCAAGAGGAUUAGAAGGCAAUGGACAGCGACGAGAGCGACGAGGACGAUGGGUGGAGCGCCAGCGUACGAAUCAUCACGCCACUGGACAUGGACGCCACCGUCACGUUUAGCGACGUCGACGACGGGCCGAGCCACUGCUGCCACCACCACCACCACGAUUGCCACAGAGAGAUCGCUUCCAGCCGCGACGCGAUCGAUCUGAUCGGCCCGGCGGAUCCCGACCCCGAGUAUCUCGACGACAAUGUGUGCCCAGAUUGCAAGGACAGCCACAUCCUGGAGUGGAGUGGCGGCCCAUCGCUGCCAAGAACAUACCGCGAGGUUUGCCCCGCAGGCCAGUGCGAUCAGUCAUCCAUCUCUUUGAUCGACUCCUCUCUCCCUCGCCCCUACAAUCCCCCAGUCUCCAAUCCCCACUCGAGCACUGCCUCCAAUACCUCCGCCGAGGAUCAAGAGGUCGAUCGAAUCACCAUCCGCGCCAGCGAGAGAGACAUCGAUCACAUCACAAUCCGGGCGAGGAGCCGAUCCCCCGAGCGCGUCACGGUGAGCGUCACGGAUCACCACUGCUGCCCGGAGCACCCGUGCUCUUCCUCCCAAUCGCGCGAUCGAUCGUCCUCACCCAGCGGCCCGGUGGAUCGCAUCCGGAUCCUGGUGGACAGCGAGGUGGACCACAAGAUGGGGCAGCUGCGCAGCGCGCUGGACGACCGACUGGGAGAUCGCAUCGAGCGCGCCAUCGACUCGGUGGUGGCCAGCAAGCUCAUGGACAUCACGGAUUGCACAUCGGAGAGAGUGCUCCGCCGGAUCAACUGUAUGAUCGAUUGCAAGAUGAAAGAAGCGAUGGAGAUGGCCGACUGCGCCGUGAAUUCACGGCUCCGGGAUGCGCUGGAGGCGGUGAUGAAGGAUCUACAGCGUUGCAAGAAUAGAUUAAACUCGUAGCCAGGAAGAAGGAUAAAUUUGAAGAGCC